UGCCAGGCUGAAUGUCAAGAGAAGAACGGC
rnacentral:piRNA from 1 species